AGAUUGAACGCUAGCGGGAUGCUUUACACAUGCAAGUCGAACGGCAGCGCGGACUUCGGUCUGGCGGCGAGUGGCGAACGGGUGAGUAAUAUAUCGGAACGUGCCCAGUAGCGGGGGAUAACUACGCGAAAGCGUGGCUAAUACCGCAUACGCCCGUACGGGGGAAAGGGGGGGAUCGCAAGACCUCUCACUAUUGGAGCGGCCGAUAUCAGAUUAGCUAGUUGGUGAGGUAAAGGCUCACCAAGGCGACGAUCUGUAGCUGGUUUGAGAGGACGACCAGCCACACUGGGACUGAGACACGGCCCAGACUCCUACGGGAGGCAG
rnacentral:rRNA from 1 species